GCGCCCUCAAGAAACGGCGGACUUCGAAUCCGUAGGUUGGGGGUUCGAUUCCCUCCGGGCGCG
rnacentral:tRNA from 1 species